GAUGAACGCUGGCGGCGUGCCUAAUACAUGCAAGUCGAGCGAACAGACGAGGAGCUUGCUCCUCUGACGUUAGCGGCGGACGGGUGAGUAACACGUGGAUAACCUACCUAUAAGACUGGGAUAACUUCGGGAAACCGGAGCUAAUACCGGAUAAUAUAUUGAACCGCAUGGUUCAAUAGUGAAAGACGGUUUUGCUGUCACUUAUAGAUGGAUCCGCGCCGCAUUAGCUAGUUGGUAAGGUAACGGCUUACCAAGGCAACGAUGCGUAGCCGACCUGAGAGGGUGAUCGGCCACACUGGAACUGAGACACGGUCCAGACUCCUACGGGAGGCAGCAGUAGGGAAUCUUACGCAAUGGGCGAAAGCCUGACGGAGCAACGCCGCGUGAGUGAUGAAGGUCUUCGGAUCGUAAAACUCUGUUAUUAGGGAAGAACAAAUGUGUAAGUAACUAUGCACGUCUUGACGGUACCUAAUCAGAAAGCAACGGCUAACUACGUG
rnacentral:rRNA from 1 species